ensembl:lncRNA
GUUGGUUGGUUUUUUCUCGGAAGGCUGAUUUGUUUCGGAAUGCCAUAUUUUCAUUUCAGAACUUAGAAAGUUACUCUCGGCUGAAGAUCUGAGAUAGAAAUUUGCACAGCUGAGCACAGUCUGAGGAAGAAUCUCUGUUCAAAGAAGAAUCUAUUAGCCUCAGAUCAGAGCCUGUAAGUACCCUUAAGUUAAUCCAGUCCAACUCCUUGCAGCCUACUGUAGAGACACAGGGGCCACUGGCCAGAGAGUGGAGAGGCCUGGGUUCUGGUCCUCACCCUGUCACUGGUUCCCUGAGUGACCUUGCGAAAGUCUCUGCCCUUCUCUGGCCUCAGUUUCCCUUUUGGAAUUGGCCCAGAACCUCUUAGGUCCUGGCCAAAUCAAAAGGUCAAAAGCUCCACUUGCGAGGAAUGGAGAAUGCCUCAAAUGGAGAAUUUUCAAAGGCAGGGCUUGUUCUUGACGUGGGGUGAAAUGGCUGUUUUCAGACUGGCUGUGCAUCUUUGGAAUUGGUAGUUGCAGAGCUAAGAAAAGAAUUUACCUGAAGGGAGGCUUUGUCAGCAGCUUCUGGAGUUUUUGUGCCGAGUCUUAGGACUGAUGGAGGUGAUAUGUUAGUGUUUAUCAGGGGCCAUUGGUGAAGUUUAGGUGGUAAAAGGAGGUUAGUGCGGAGAAGGCAAUGGCACCCCACUCCAGUACUCUUGCCUGGAGAAUCCCAUGGACGGAAGAGCCUGGUGGGCUGCAGUCCAUAGGGUCGCUAAGAGUCGGAGACAACUGAGUAACUUCACUUUCUCUUCACUUUCGUGCAUUGGAGAAGGAAAUGGCAACCCACUCCAGUGUUCUUGCCUGGAGAAUCCCAGGGUCGGGGGAGCCUGGUAGGCUGCCAUCUACGGGGUCACACAGAAUUGGACACGACUGAAGUGACUUAGCAGCAGCAGCAGGAGGUUAGUGGGGCUCGUGGCAGAUGGAAAGUGGCAGGCGAGGGGGUCAUCCGGGGGUCUGUCUUCUUGUCUCGGUCUCCACUCAUUCUGCAGCCCAGAAAGCCCUUCCCCAUCUCUGGGCCUUAAUUUCCUCUGGCUAGUUUCUGAACCCCCUUUGAGCCUCAAAAUUCUAUGAUUCUAAUGAAUUCUGUUUUAAAAUUGUAGUUUUAUCUUCCCAAGGACUUUAAGUUUUAGAAAAAAUUCUCUAUGUUUCUUUUCUUUUCUUUUUCUUUUUUUUUUUUUUUAUGUUUUGGCUGCACCGAGUGGUAUGCGAGAUCUUAGUUCCCCAACCAGGGAUCGAACCUAUGCACCCCCUACAAAUGAAGUGCAGAUUCUUAACCACUGAACUGCCAGGAAAGUCCCUUAAAUAUAUGUUUCUUAAGCACCCACUGGUGACAGGCACAAUGGUUGCAGCUAGCAAAACCAGAUUCGGUGGCUGCCAUCAUGGCACUUAGAGUCUUGGGGAAGGACAGACAGCGACCAAUCAGAUAAAGACACAGAGGGCCGGCAACACGCUACAACUAGAGGAUGAGUUUUCAACAGACGACUUGAACUCCGUUAGGGUUGGACAGGGUCAGCUUCUUCAAGGAAGUGACUCUUGUGCCAAUAUCCCCAGGGUAAUGAGGGUCUGACUAGGUGAAGGGUACAAAAAAAAGUGUUCCCGGAAGAGGAACAGCGUGUGGGAAAUCUGGGUCAAGAGGGCACAGGGCCUGUUCGAGAGGAGCCAGCAGUGCUGUGAGGGGAGGCUGUCGAGGUCCAGGGCGAGUCAGACCCUGCAGAAUCUUGUUGUCUGUGGAGAAUUCUCAUGCUUAGGAUCACGGAGAGCCUCUGAAGCAUUCUCAGCAAAGGCAGACAGCAUCAAGUCUGCAUUUUGACUCCUCUGAAUGCUAUUAGGAAGGGACAGGAGAUGGUGAUGGAGUUAUGACAUCCUGGUGAGACAUGAUGCGGGCCUGACUGGAGCCGUUACAGUCCAGAGUGGUCACAUUCGGAAACGAUUUAGGAUUUUGAAUUAACAGGAUGUGGCGAUAGAUGGAAUGAGGAGUCGAGGCCAACUCCCAGCUCUGCAGAGGUUCAUCUGAAGGUGAGUCAGCCUUAGGUCUACCUGUGUGUCCCAGCCGCGGCCCCUCUGAGGUGGGCACCUUGUGAGAUGGUCCGCAGUGACGCCCGGCUUCCUGGUUUUCCCACCCUCAUAUAAUUCCCCUCCCGAGUGUGGGCUGGGCUUACUGACUGACAGCUAAGAAAUAGGAAACAUUGGCAGGGGAAACGCACUGACUGAAACUGCCCACCCUAGCCAGGCACCAUAGUAACUGUUUGCCUGAGUUAUUUUACAUGUUACCACAGGGGUUACUGGAAAGGAACAUGGAACUAAGGAGCCACCUCCAACCGGAAGAGUUCAGGAAAGGUCCAAAGGAGACACCACGUGUCCCACCACCUCCCAGAAUCCUCACUGGAAUUCAUCGUGGCUGAGCAAUGUGUGCACCACCAAGAAGGACCCUGAGUCAGAGUGAUUGGCCAGAGACAACCCAGAAAGUAACUCCAACACCAUAAAACCCAGGACUGCAAGCCAUGUGGCAGAGGAGUCCUCCUAGGUCUCCUUACCCUCCUGCCCCCCUCCCAGGCCACCCUUCCCAAUAAAGCCUCUUGCUCUGUCAACACGUGUGUCUCCUCAGACAAUUCAUUUCCGAGUGUUAGACAAGAGUCCACUCUCGGCCCAGGAAAGGAUCCCCCUUCCUGCAAUAGCAU